AACGAUGAUGCCCAGCUUGCUGGGCGGAUUAGUGGCGAACGGGUGAGUAAUACGUGAGUAACCUGCCCUUGACUCUGGGAUAAGCCUGGGAAACUGGGUCUAAUACUGGAUACUACCUCUUGCCGCAUGGUGGGUGGUGGAAAGGGUUUUACUGGUUUUGGAUGGGCUCACGGCCUAUCAGCUUGUUGGUGGGGUAAUGGCUCACCAAGGCGACGACGGGUAGCCGGCCUGAGAGGGUGACCGGCCACACUGGGACUGAGACACGGCCCAGACUCCUACGGGAGGCAGCAGUGGGGAAUAUUGCACAAUGGGCGGAAGCCUGAUGCAGCGACGCCGCGUGAGGGAUGACGGCCUUCGGGUUGUAAACCUCUUUCAGUAGGGAAGAAGCGAGAGUGACGGUACCUGCAGAAGAAGCGCCGGCUAACUACGUGCCAGCAGCCGCGGUAAUACGUAGGGCGCAAGCGUUGUCCGGAAUUAUUGGGCGUAAAGAGCUCGUAGGCGGUUUGUCGCGUCUGCUGUGAAAGCCCGGGGCUCAACCCCGGGUCUGCAGUGGGUACGGGCAGACUAGAGUGCAGUAGGGGAGACUGGAAUUCCUGGUGUAGCGGUGAAAUGCGCAGAUAUCAGGAGGAACACCGAUGGCGAAGGCAGGUCUCUGGGCUGUUACUGACGCUGAGGAGCGAAAGCAUGGGGAGCGAACAGGAUUAGAUACCCUGGUAGUCC
rnacentral:rRNA from 1 species